rnacentral:rRNA from 1 species
UACAGAGGGUGCAAGCGUUGUCCGGAAUCAUUGGGCGUAAAGAGCGUGUAGGCGGCUCGAUAAGUCUGCUGUGAAAGUCCAGGGCUCAACCCUGGAAGGCCGGUGGAAACUGUCGGGCUAGAGUCCGGAAGAGGCGAGUGGAAUUCCCGGUGUAGCGGUGAAAAUGCGCAGAUAUCGGGAGGAACACCAAUGGCGAAGGCAGCUCGCUGGGACGGUACUGACGCUGAGACGCGAAAAGCGUGGGGGAGCAAACAGG